UAAUACAGAGGGUGCAAGCGUUAAUCGGAAUUACUGGGCGUAAAGCGCGCGUAGGCGGUUGUAUAAGUUGGAGGUGAAAUCCCCGGGCUCAACCUGGGAAUUGCCUUCAAAACUGUACGGCUAGAGUGUGGGAGAGGAAGGUAGAAUUCCAGGUGUAGCGGUGAAAUGCGUAGAUAUCUGGAGGAAUACCGAUGGCGAAGGCAGCCUUCUGGCCUAACACUGACGCUGAGGUGCGAAAGCAUGGGGAGCAAACAGG
rnacentral:rRNA from 1 species